UUUAAGUACAAUUUUCUUCUUUUAAAUUUCUAUACUAAAUUUUAUCAACAGAAAGCAACAUAUCGGGGCAUAAAUUCUGUGAUUGACUCAUCAAUAGAAAGCAACAUAUCAGGGGCAUAAAUUCUGUAAUUGACUCAUUAAUCUAAGCUGUAAAUAGUAGAAGAGAUUUAGCUUACCAUAUGUAAGUUACCAGAUAUAGCUCCCUAAAAUCACUCUAUGUAAUUAGCAUGUAUAGUUUAAGUUUCCUUGUAUUCUGGUUAAUUUUGCCUAUAUAAAUGAAAGACCUUCUUAGAAGAGAAGACAAUUCGAACCAUUUUGAUAAAUUUAUCUUCUUUAAUUCGUCCGAGAAUCAUCAAAUCCUUCAACAAAUUAGUAUCAAAAAUUACUUUUACAUUACUUAUAAAGUAUUUUAGAUUUGACUAGUAAUAAUAAAAGGGUCUUGUUCGUAACACACAAACGGGUCUUUGCUCAAAUUUCGCUCGAACGGACGUGAUCAUUAUUUGGAAUCCACCAAAUAAAUAUUGAAAUCCACCAAUUAAUUGAAAAAUUGGAAUAUAUAAUUAAUCAAUUUUGCCUAUAUAAAUGAAAGACCUUCUUAGAAGAGAAGACAAUUCGAACCAUUUUGAUAAAUUUAUCUUCUUUAAUUCGUCUGAGAAUCAUCAAAUCCUUCAACAAAUUAGUAUCAAAAAUUACUUUUACAUUACUUAUAAAGUAUUUUAGAUUUGACUAGUAAUAAUAAAAGGGUCUUGUUCGUAACACACAAACGGGUGUUUGCUCAAAUUUCGCUCGAACGGACGUGAUCAUUAUUUGGAAUCCACCAAAUAAAUAUUGAAAUCCACCAAUUAAUUGAAAAAUUGGAAUAUAUAAUUAAUCAAGAAUCGAAUUUCUAAUUUACAAGCUCCUAAAUAGAUAUUUAAGGACUCAAAAU
rnacentral:lncRNA from 1 species